rnacentral:rRNA from 1 species
UACGUAGGGUGCAAGCGUUGUCCGGAAUUAUUGGGCGUAAAGAGCUCGUAGGCGGCCUGUCACGUCGGCUGUGAAAACCCGGGGCUCAACCCCGGGCCUGCAGUCGAUACGGGCAGGCUAGAGUCCGGCAGGGGAGACUGGAAUUCCUGGUGUAGCGGUGAAAUGCGCAGAUAUCAGGAGGAACACCGGUGGCGAAGGCGGUUCUCUGGGCAUGUCCUGACGCUGAGGAGCGAAAGUGUGGGGAGCGAACAGG